GAUAAAAAUAUAUACUCUGGAAGAGCAUGAUGUUUUAUCUGUUUGGGUUGAAAAGCACGUGGGAAGUCCAGCACAUUUGGCUUAUUGUCUCUUGUCUGACUUUACAAAGCGACCUUUGUGGGACCCCCAUUGUGUGUCCUGUGAAGUCAUAGACUGGGUGAGUGAAGAUGAUCAGCUGUAUCACAUCACCUGUCCUAUACUGAAUGAUGACAAACCCAAAGACUUUGUAGUACUGGUAUCACGAAGAAAACCUCUCAAAGAUGGUAACACUUACACAGUGGCAGUGAAGUCGGUCAUUUUGCCAUCGGUCCCCCCGUCUCCACAGUACAUCAGAAGUGAAAUCAUAUGUGCCGGAUUUCUCAUCCAUGCUAUUGACAGCAAUUCAUGCAUCGUAAGUUUGAUGAAACAUCUGCAGGUUAAUUGGCUCUGCCAGAUAGAGAAAAAUCUCUUAAUUUACCCAGAUGUCCUAAUUAAUUGUAAUCUUGUAAUUUGUGUCCACACUAUGGGAAUCCUAAGGUCAUCCUUUCGGAUCAUCUAUUCCAGAAGGUCCCCCAGAAGAUUAGGGUCUUAGCCUCCCCUACACCAGCAAGACUCAGAUCCUUUCUUGAAAAAGCUCCAAGUCAAUAAGAAAUUAAAAUAUUGUAUUUUCUUUUUGAAACAGGUAUCUUACUUUAACCAUAUGUCUGCUAGCAUCCUUCCUUACUUUGCUGGAAAUCUUGGUGGCUGGUCAAAAUCCAUUGAAGAAACAGCAG
rnacentral:sRNA from 1 species